GACGAACGCUGGCGGCGUGCCUAACACAUGCAAGUCGAGCGAUGAAACCCUUCGGGGUGGAUUAGCGGCGGACGGGUGAGUAACACGUGGGUAACCUGCCUCAAAGAGGGGAAUAGCCUCCCGAAAGGGAGAUUAAUACCGCAUAAUAUGUUUUAAUCGCAUGAUUGAAACAUCAAAGGAGUAAUCCGCUUUGAGAUGGACCCGCGGCGCAUUAGCUAGUUGGUGAGGUAACGGCUCACCAAGGCGACGAUGCGUAGCCGACCUGAGAGGGUGAUCGGCCACAUUGGAACUGAGACACGGUCCAGACUCCUACGGGAGGCAGCAGUGGGGAAUAUUGCGCAAUGGGGGAAACCCUGACGCAGCAACGCCGCGUGAAUGAUGAAGGCCUUCGGGUUGUAAAGUUCUGUCUUCUGGGACGAUAAUGACGGUACCAGAGGAGGAAGCCACGGCUAACUACGUGCCAGCAGCCGCGGUAAUACGUAGGUGGCAAGCGUUGUCCGGAUUUACUGGGCGUAAAGGAUGCGUAGGCGGACAUUUAAGUCAGAUGUGAAAUACCCGAGCUUAACUUGGGUGCUGCAUUUGAAACUGGGUGUCUAGA
rnacentral:rRNA from 1 species